rnacentral:lncRNA from 1 species
CUCUCUCUCUCUCUCUCUCUCUCAAUCCUCCGCUGCAAAAUUCCAAAACCAAUCUCAUCAAAUUCUCACUUCUCGCUCUCUCUGGUCUAGUCUCAGUCCACGGAUUUCAGUCCCGGAGAAAAUCAAGGCGAAGAAAAGAAGGAAAUCUUCGUCGCCGCCAACUGAAAAUCCUAUAUCUCCGCCAAUCCGGAAUGAAAUCCUCCACCGCCGCUGCAGCCAAGGCCACGCCCAACCUGCUCUGUCUCACCAAGGACAAUAAGCGUAUUGAGUAGUCUAGUUUUGCUUGGAAGAGAAUGAGAGCUUGCAUUUUGAAUUUAUGAGGGGUUACUUUACAUUUCUCAUGUGGGAUGGAAACAGGUUCAAGAUGUCAUAGUAGUAAGUUUUUGCAGAAGAUUCGGAAGUCAUGUUUUGCAGCUUGAAGCCCCAUUGAGAGGAAUGGCACCAAUGUU